rnacentral:lncRNA from 1 species
AUUGAAUUAGUGUAGGCAGCUGAGGUGCUGGGGUUAAAGCACCCAAGAGGGAUUAGAAACACUGGGUUUGAGAACUGGUUCUGUGUUCUUGAAGCAAUUAUUAUACUGCUCCUCCAUCCAUGAUCCUCAGUUUCUUCACCUGAAAAGAAUGGAAAUAAUACACCCUGACUAACGUUUACAAUUCUAUUUGAAGACUCAAAUGAGAUAUUAGAGGAACACGGGGGUGGAAGAGGGAAGAACACUGCUAGUGCUGAGACUCUUUGAGGAAUGAAGGGGAAAUAAGGAAACUCAUCUUGGAUGGCCUCAACCUUCUUAAUGCAGUCAAACACAUUGUAAGAUCAUCUAUACUAGGUUUCCUUUGGAUCAUGGAAUGCCCAGCAAAAAAAGCAGGCAGCAGUAUUAGAAUGGCCAAGUUUAUGACCAUAACUAGAUUCUAAAAUGGCCCAGAAACAACAUUAAGAAACCCAGGUCAUAGAGGUAUGAGUUUUUAAAAAGUGUUGAAUCCAAAUUUCUGAGACAUGCACUUAGCUAAGAAGUAUAACAAGAAGGGAUAGUGAAGUAGGGCCCUUUAGAAAGUGAGUCUGGACACCC